rnacentral:rRNA from 1 species
UAGGGUGCAAGCGUUAAUCGGAAUUACUGGGCGUAAAGGGUGCGCAGGCGGCUUGGAAAGAACGGUGUGAAAUCCCGGGGCUCAACCCCGGAACUGCACUAUUAACUAUCAAGCUAGAGUAUGUCAGAGGGGGGUGGAAUUCCGCGUGUAGCAGUGAAAUGCGUAGAUAUGCGGAGGAACACCAAUGGCGAAGGCAGCCCCCUGGGAUAAUACUGACGCUCAGGCACGAAAGCGUGGGUAGCAAA